CUAGACGUAUUUUCUUCUUUUACACAACUUGAUGCAUAGCUUCAUUCCUCAAAUUGUGCAUUACUUUUACCUAAGAUAACCAGAUGUUCAUAGUGAGCAAGUGCGCAAGUGCCAUGUAAAUUCUAAGCAUGUGACUAGCCAAAAUAUCAACCGUGUGGCAUAUCAUCACUGUUCUCUUGAAUCCUGGUACCUUCCAUCCCCAAACAAGUAAUCUUGUUUGAAAUAAAGUAGCUGACAGUUCUCACUCCUAGAAAGCCUGAGACCAACAAGGAAGAGGAAAC
rnacentral:lncRNA from 1 species